GCUUACGGCCAUACCACCCUGAGAACGCCCGAUCUCGUCUGAUCUCGGAAGCUAAGCAGGGUCGGGCCUGGUUAGUACUUGGAUGGGAGACGCCUGGAUACCAGGUGCUGUAAGCU
ensembl:rRNA 5S_rRNA 5S ribosomal RNA